AGGAAGACAAGUUUCUGGAUGAUUUGCUUUUAACUUAAUUAAGUCUGUGGAUUACUUUUGUAUUAUUUGGAAAUACUCAGCAUACUGACCUAAUACAAUAAAGCAUUUUCCACAGAUUGCUUGUUCUCUAAAGGAGGUCGAAGUAACACACAAAUGUUCAGUGUUCUAACGCUACAUCUGUAUAUAUGUAACACACAAAUGCAAAGCACCACACUGGUGUCAUGUUCAGUGUUCUAACGCUACAUCUGUAUAUAUGUAACACACAAAUCUAAGGCACCACAUUGGUGUCAUGUUCAGUGUUCUAACGCUACAUCUGUAUAUAUGUAACACACAAAUCUAAGGCACCACACUGGUGUCAUGUUCAGUGUUCUAACGCUACAUCUGUAUAUAUGUAACACACAAAUCUAAGGCACCACAUUGGUGUCAUGUUCAGUGUUCUAACGCUACAUAUGUAUAUAUGUAACACACAAAUCUAAGGCACCACACUGGUGUCAUGUUCAGUGUUCUAACGCUACAUAUGUAUAUAUGUAACACACAAAUCUAAGGCACCACAUUGGUGUCCUGCCGAGUGUCAUUCAAGUGUUAUAUAUGUACAUGUGUCACAG
rnacentral:lncRNA from 1 species